UGCAAAGUCCGCCUGCGCGGACUA
rfam:Chamaesiphon minutus PCC 6605, complete genome.